GAUGAACGCUGGCGGCGUGCCUAAUACAUGCAAGUCGAGCGAACAGACGAGGAGCUUGCUCCUCUGACGUUAGCGGCGGACGGGUGAGUAACACGUGGAUAACCUACCUAUAAGACUGGGAUAACUUCGGGAAACCGGAGCUAAUACCGGAUAAUAUAUUGAACCGCAUGGUUCAAUAGUGAAAGACGGUUUUGCUGUCACUUAUAGAUGGAUCCGCGCCGCAUUAGCUAGUUGGUAAGGUAACGGCUUACCAAGGCAACGAUGCGUAGCCGACCUGAGAGGGGGAGCGGCCACAAGGGAAAGGAGAAACGGGACAGAAUCAUAAGGGAGGCAGCAGUAGGGAAUCUUAAGAAAUGGGCGAAAGAGUGAAGGAGCAAAGACGCGUGAGUGAUGAAGGUCGGCGGAUAGUAAAACUCUGUUAUUAGGGAAGAAUAAAGGUGUAAGUAACUAGGCAAGUCUGGACGGUACCUAAGCAGAAAGCCACGGAUAAAGAAGUG
rnacentral:rRNA from 1 species